AGGUAUUACAUGCAUUAUAUUAGUAUAUGAUGGUAUUAAACAAGUACAAGUAUAAAAGCUUAAAAAUGGAUAAAUAAGUUCAAGCGUCUACUUUGAUUACCAACACAAAACACUUUUUUCCGAAAAGCGAACCCAAGCGGUCUUCAAUGUUUGCCUUGCGGUAUGGACCCAGUAACAGUUCGCCGACCCCUCAUAGUCCACGAUAGCACUUUCGACUACCGCCCUACCAGUUAUCCUGGAAUGCUGCUUAACAAUCAAGAUAAGAAAGUCAGAUAUCAGUUGGUCAACUUCCAAAGACCUAUACAACCCCACUAUCCGUCUUGUGCUCCUUCGUAUAAUUGAAAAGUUUAUACGUGGUGGUUGUCCUUCGCCGUGCUGUUCACCAUGUCAGCCCUCUCCGUGCUGUGGAGGAGCUGGUUCCCUCGUCACAGUUUACAGUCAAGUAGCACAUAUACAGUGACCCGGUGACAUGCGCUUCACCUAAAUGCAGUACUUGCCGUAGGACAGCCACCACAACCAGUGGCGGCUUUUGACAAAGCAGUGAUUGCUAUAGGACACCACGGCACCAGCAUGAAGACUUGUUGAUAUUUAUAACUGAAAUUGUCCCUAGUUUUGGUUUAUACAUUGUAACGUAAAAUUUAUAUUGUAAUAAAGCUUGUGACUUGUA